rnacentral:rRNA from 1 species
AGCAGCCGCGGUAAUUCCAGCUCCAAUAGCGUAUAUUAAAGUUGUUGCAGUUAAAAAGCUCGUAGUUGAAUUUUGGAUUCUUCCAAUUGGUCCAUCUUUUAGAUGAGUACUGGUUGUGUGGGGUCUAUCCGCCUGGUAAUACGUAAUGUCCUUUAUUGGAUGUUGCGGGUAGUCAGGACCUUUACCUUGAAAAAAUUAGAGUGUUUAAAGCAGGCUUAUGCCGGAAUACAUUAGCAUGGAAUAAUAGAAUAGGACGAAGUUGUUUUAUUUUGUUGGUUUCUAGGACAACCGUAAUGAUUAAUAGGGAUAGUUGGGGGCAUUAGUAUUCAAUUGUCAGAGGUGAAAUUCUUGGAUUUAUUGAAGACUAACUACUGCGAAAGCAUUUGCCAAGGAUGUUUUCAUUAAUCAAGAACGAAAGUUAGGGGAUCGAAGACGAUCAGAUACCGUCGUAGUCUUAACCAUAAACUAUGCCGACUAGGGAUCGGGCGAUGUUGUUUCCAUGACUCGCUCGGCACCUUAUG